UGGGGAAUUUUGGACAAUGGGCGCAAGCCUGAUCCAGCCAUGCCGCGUGCAGGAUGAAGGCCUUCGGGUUGUAAACUGCUUUUGUACGGAACGAAAAGGUGCCUUCUAAUAAAGGGCGCUCAUGACGGUACCGUAAGAAUAAGCACCGGCUAACUACGUGCCAGCAGCCGCGGUAAUACGUAGGGUGCGAGCGUUAAUCGGAAUCACUGGGCGUAAAGGGAGCGUAGGCGUUUUAUUAAGUCUUGAGUGAAAGCUCGCAGCUCAACUGCGGAACUGCUCAGGAAACUGAUAGAGUUGAGUAUGGAAGAGGUAGGUGGAAUUUCCGGUGUAGGGGUAAAAUCCGUAGAUAUCGGAAGGAAUACCAGAAGCGAAGGCGACCUACUGGGACAUUACUGACGCUGAGGCUCGAAAGCGUGGGGAGCAAACA
rnacentral:rRNA from 1 species